CCAAAAAAAUGAAUUCUACUAAAAACAUUUGUUUUCCAUAAGUGAAUGCAAUGAGAUUUUCGUCUUACAGGUUUUCGUUGAUAACAAAACCGGUGGUGAUAUAACAAAAAAAAAAAAUUCCAUAAUCAGUCGUUCUUUCCCUAUUGCUCGGCAGCUGAAAUUUUCAACGGCUGAUAUAAUAAGCAGUUUACCGGAAGCUAUUCUUUGUCACAUUCUUUCUUUUCUUGAAACCAAACGCUACAAAGCGCUUCCAACAGACACUUACAAAAGAAAUCACAACUUCUGAGUUUAACGAUUUUGUAUACUCUAUUUUGGUUUGGCGAGAUGUCACGCUUCUCAUUAAGAAUUUGCAUCUUGAAGUUACAUACCAACAUCUUUAUCGGUGCCCCAUGAUCACUAUAACCAAAUGGAUCAAUUUUUCCAUACAACAAAGAGUUGAGUAUCUUUAUCUCCAUCUCAACUCAGUAUUAUUUCUUCCCAAAUUGCCCAUCACCAUUCUCACCUGCAAAACACUUGUGGUUCUCAAUCUUUUUCAUUUCUUUGUGGGACACGGUUUUUCAUAUUCUUCUGUUCUACUUCCUUCUCUCAAAACCCUUCAUUUGGAAACUUUUGGAUUCCCUAAACUUCGAUAUUUUAUAUGUUUCUAUCCAGAUGUCCAAUUCUCGAGGAUUUACAAACAUUUAAGGUGGAAAUUGAUUAUGAUGAAUGUGUAACUUGUAGCGAGUUGAACAACUUUUGCUUGACCAACUUAACCAAACUGAUAUUGAUUGUACUCCGUCUUAUUUUCCGUUGAAAACAGUUCACAACACACAUUUUUUGUGCCUUAAAAUCCAUCAGGGACCUUCAUGGAAUGAAUUGAUUCCUCCUUUUCAUGAUUUGACCCAACUCGAACUUAUUUCUUUUAGUUAUAGUUGGCAGUUAUUAGUAGAACUUCUCAACUAAUUUCCUAAGCUUCAAAAGCUUCACAUUGAUCAGGUUUGUUAAGGAUCAUAUAUUAUUUGUCUAUUAAUAUUUCACCUUAGCUAGCUAGUGUGGGAUUUUGAUACACACUUUAUGUUUUUUAUUUGCAUUAUUAAUAAGCUGAAGUAGAGAAGGAAAUGUGGACUAGAAGAGAUGACAGAGAACAUUGGGUAGAUCUGGAUGUUGUUCCGCAAUGCCUUUCAUUACGCCUUACAACAUGCAAUCUAUUCAACUUCUUAGUCCUUAAAGGUCAAAGAUUAGUGAUUACAAGAAAAUGGAAUCAAACUGUCUGGGUGAUCAUAUUUUACAACAGAUUGCAAUUAAAGAACAAGUAUCUGGUUAUUUGUGCUAGGUCAGGCGUGGUCAUUGGUCUCAAUUGUUCUUUAUUUAUAACAUUUUCCCCUAUUUACAUGUUAUAUUUUAUUAGUGACUGAUCACUGUAAUUUUGUAGAAAAAGUAAAAAACAAUUCUGCUUGUUGAUAGUGUCUUAUAGUGCUUGAACAUAUAAGUGGUGUUAGAGUAAAAGGAGAAAGAUUGAGAUGAUUGACAACUAGAACCUAAUUCAGA